rnacentral:rRNA from 1 species
GGUUGAUCCCGCCGGAGAUCACCGUUAUCAGGAUUCGACUAAGCCAUGCGAGGUGAAUGUGCUCGUAAGAGUAACAUGCCGUAAUGCUGAGUAACACGUAGUUAACCUACUCUUAGGUAGGGGAUAAACUUGCGAAAGUGAGGAUUAAUACCCUAUAGAUUUUAGAUACUGGAAUGUUCUAAAAUUGAAAAUUCCGAUGCCUAAGAAUGGGACUGCGGCGUAUCAAUUAGUUGUCAGUGUAAUGAACUGACAAGAUUAUAACGCGUAGGGGCUGUGAGAGCAGAAGCCUCCAGAUGUCCUCUGAGACAUGAGGACAGGGCCUACGGGUCGCAGCAGGCGCGAAAACUUUCCAAUGCGUUCACGCGUGAGAAGGGAAUCUUGAGUGCUUAUGCUUAGCAUAAGCUUUUAUUUAUCUUAAAAAGAUAGACGAAUAAGGGGUGGGCAAGACAGGUGCCAGCCGCCGCGGUAAUACCUGCGCCCCAAAUGGUGAUCAUUUUUAUUGGGUCUAAAGAGCUCGUAGCCGGUCUAGAAAGUCUCUGGUGAAAUAUGGCAGCUAACUGUCAUGCGUGCUGGAGAUACUGCUAGACUUGGGACCGGAAGAGGUCUGGGGUAUUCCAUGUGUAGGGGUUAAAUCCUUUAAUCCAUGGAGGACCACCUGUGGCGAAGGCGCCAGACUAGAACGGGUCCGACGGUGAGGGGCGAAAGCUAGGGGAGCGAUUGGGAUUAGAUACCCCAGCAGUCCUAGCUGUAAACGAUGUCCGUUUGGUGUCGCAUGUCUUACGUGGAUAUGCGGUGCCGGAGUGAAGAUGUUAAACGGACCGCCUGGGGAUUACGGCCGCAAGGCUAAAACUUAAGGGAAUUGGCGGGGGAGCACACAAGAGGUGGAGGCUGCGGUUCAAUUGGAUUCGACGCCGGAAAACUCACCAGGAAAGACAGCAGAAUGAAGGUCAGUCUAAAGGGCUUACCAGACAAGCUGAGAGGUGUUGCAUGGCCAUCGUCAGUUCGUGUCAUGAGACGUGCCGUUAAGUCGGUUAACGAACGAGACCCGUGCCACUAGUUGCCAUCUUCUUUUCCGAAAGAAGAGCACUCUAGUGGAACCGCUGGUGAUAAAUCAGAGGAAGGUGCGGGCAACGAUAGGUCUGUAUGGCCCGAAUUUCCUGGGCUACACGCGGCCUACAAUGACCAGGACAAUGCGAUGCGACGCAGAAAUGCGAAGCUAAUCGCCGAAACCUGGCCUUAGUUCAGAUCGAGGAUUGUAACUCAUCCUCGUGAAGUUGGAAUCUCUAGUAAGCGAACGUCAUUAUCGUUCGCUGAAUGCGUCCCUGCUCUUUGCACACACCGCCUGUCAAGCCAUGCGAAUGGAUUUUUGGCGAGGCUUUGUUCAUAAUCCAGUAAUGGAAUUGGGUAGAGUCGAGCCAAGGGUCUGUAAGUGAGG